rnacentral:lncRNA from 1 species
CUCUAUGCGAGGAAACCCCAAUGCAUCAGCUUGCUGAACAACCUGCUGGCCAAGCUAUACCUGGGUGUUUUGCCUAGAGGUUUUGAUGCAAGGUGAAUGUUUUGGCAAACAAGGACUGAGUUUGUCCACAGUUUGGAAAGCUUCCAGAAAAUAAUGGCUACAGGAACUAUCAAGUGCUACUGCAAUGCAAGAAAUGAUUGAUCUGGCUAAAAUCAUAUUACUGGCUUCCUCCUGGUCAAUGUUCUGACUCCUUGUGUUGUGGCAUUCUACCCUGAGGAUGUGGAGGCCUACGGAUUUACUUGUUCUAGCUGCCAAAAAUCAUAGAAUAUCUUGAGUUUGGAAGGACCCAUAAGGAUCAUCAAGUUGUAAAGGUAUGUGUCCAGAUGGCAAAAGCAAAGCUUUGAUAUUGAAAGAAUAAAUCAGAAAUUAAUAUGAAUAUCA